GUUCGCUCGUGGAACGUGGCAACGCUUUCAGUCGUUGAUUUGACCGCCAAACAAACGCAACGCAACUCGAGUGCGCCAACACGUCGAACACGUACACAAACACCAAGAGCAGCAAGCGCAGUCAGCGCAUCCAACAACAAACGCCAUAAAUAUAAUAUUUCUAACAACAGAAAAGUUAAAAAAACGAAGAAGAAACAAGUUGUGAAACUUAAAAGUUCGGCACUAAAAAGCAAUAGUAGUCAAGUGCUGCCAAAAGGUGAAGCCUCAGCAGUAACAGCGCCGUCAGUUAAGGAGCAACAACAACAACAGCAAC